AUUGAACGCUGGCGGCAGGCCUAACACAUGCAAGUCGAACGAGUGGCGGACGGGUGAGUCAUGUCUGGGACACUGCCUGAUGGAGGGGGAUAACUACUGAAAACGGUAGCUAAUACCGCAUACCAGCCAAUGUGCCCAGAGGGGAUUAGCUAGUUGGUGGGGUAACGGCUCACCAAGGAGACGAUCCCUAGCGGGUCUGAGAGGAUGACCAGCCACACUGGAACUGAGACACGGUCCAGACUCCUACGGGAGGCAGCAGUGGGGAAUAUUGCACAAUGGGCGCAAGCCUGAUGCAGCCAUGCCGCGUGUAUGAAGAAGGUCUUCGGGUUGUAAAGCACUUUCAGCGGGGAGGCGUUACCCGCAGAAGAAGCACCGGCUAACUCCGUGCCAGCAGCCGCAGUAAUAC
rnacentral:rRNA from 1 species